rnacentral:rRNA from 1 species
UACAGAGGGUGCGAGCGUUAAUCGGAAUUACUGGGCGUAAAGGGUGCGUAGGUGGUGAUAUAAGUUAGGUGUGAAAGUCCUGGGCUUAACCUGGGGAUUGCGCUUAAUACUGUGUGACUAGAGUACUGUAGAGGAAGGUGGAAUUUCCGGUGUAGUGGUGAAAUACGUAGAUAUCGGAAGGAACAUCAGUGGCGAAGGCGACUUUCUGGACAGAUACUGACACUGAGGCACGAAAGCAUGGGGAGCAAACAGGAUUAGAUACCCUGGUAGUCCAUGCUGUAAACGAUGAAGACUGGCUGUUGGGUGUCUACGGACACCUAGUAGCGAAGCUGACGCGUUAAGUCUUCCGCCUGAGGAGUACGACCGCAAGGUUAAA